rnacentral:rRNA from 1 species
AGGAGGAAAGUGACUUCUGAGUAGCGGUUAAUGAGCAGAUAUCAAGGAGAACACCGGUGGAGAAGGCGGGUCUCUGGGCCGAUACUGACGCUGAGGAGCAAAAAGGUGGGGAGCGAACAGG